CAGUAGCAACCCCUACUUGAAGGAAGGAGUCUCUUAGGAAACAUCUUCUUUGCCAACAGUCUAUUCCCAGCCAGGGCCAGCAGUGCUAUGAGCUUCUGUCGCCGUCUGUGAGCUGCUCUGAACCAUCUAGGCAGCUGCUCAGAGGUCCAAGGCCCCGUGUGAACUGCUUUUCCUCUAGACAUGGAAGAGGAUCGUGAAUUAUGUUAAGGACUUUCUGUGGCUGGAUUUUGUAAGUCACAGUGUGAGAGACAGGACAAGGGGAGUCUUACCAGGUAAAUUGCCUAGGGGCAGGAAGAUGACCUCAAGAUAGAGCCCCCUUGAAUCUGCCUCCCAGGCUCCCACCGGCUACAGUGUCCCAUCUGGGGCAAAUUCCUUUCAUUUUAUCCUAGAUGCUCAAGUCUUUCCUUUACCUGCACCAGUAUUUGAAGUGUUAUGAGCUAGGAAUUAUUAUUUUAUCAUUUCCAAGUUGAAAGACAAGAAGCUAAAUCCCAGAGAGGUUGGAUGAGUCUCCCAACAUUUCACAUCUGCUUCUCAGCAAGGUCAGCGCCCCUUUGACUCCAGGUUCAGGGUGCUCCCUCAUACCUUUGUAGAAUAAACACCGGGGAAAGGGUGGUCCCUCUUCCAAGAACAACAAGUGACCUCAGAGGACGUCAUCCCUCAGGAGACCAAAUGGAAUAACAGGAAUGAUAAAAUCUCUUUUGCUUUCCUUUUCUUUUUUUUUUUAAUCAACUUCUCAUUUUACACUUACUUGUUUUUGUAGACUUUUGCAUUCAAAUACAAUUUUCAAGAAGCUUAAAAAGUGACUCAUUCAAAUACCAAAAGUGUGUCAAAAUAUACUUAGCUCAUUUGUGCUGAAAUCAGCAGGAUAGAAAAGAUGGUUCAAAGAGCACUUGAGACGCUAAGAAGUUUUGAGAAGAUAUUUGAAAAUAAGUUUGCCAGAUUAAAUGCAUGACUGCAUAAUGUCUGUAACACAGUAUGAUCACAGGUAUGAGGAUUAUUUUUUCUCCCCAACAAAAAUCCUUUGCACCUCAGAAAUUGGCAAAUUAAUAUGUUACAUCAGGUACUGUCUCUUAAUCAACAACAAGUAACAGGGGCAUCUUUUAUGGUCACUGAUCCUACAGAAAGACUAUUAGAUCGUGCUUCAAUGAUAUUCACAAGAUCUUUUUGCUUUAAUCUGGAUGGCUGAACAUAUUUGCAAUCUAAAGUAUAACAUUUUUUAAAGUGCAUUUUUGCAGAAACAGUAGACAUUUGCUAAAUUAACACUUGCUUAACUGAACUUUUUUACUAAGAAAAUAGCACACUGAGGGUUAAACAUUAGAAAUUUGAGCCAAAAAAAAACCCAAAAAAACAAAAAACAAAACAAAACAAAAAAACCCCAGACAAUAUUAACAGGAAAGGUGGAGAAUGGCAGGAUAUUACAGCAAAAUAAAGUGAGGCAAAAGCUAGAUAAGCACCAUGAAGGACCUUGUAUAAUAUAAUAAAGCAUUUGAGCUCGGCCUCAAGAGCACUUGGAGAGAGCUAGAGAGCAGAGCAUCACGGUCGGGAUUCAUUCUAAAUAGUUACCCCACCUGGUGUGCAGUGUUUUUCAGAUGGGCGGGAGUGGGACUAAAGAAACAGGGGAACAGGCAGCAGACAAGGGACACGACGGCCUCAAGGAGUGUGGAGAUGGAGAAACCAGGUCAGCUAGGAAAUAUGCUUCCGAGAUGAAGAGCUCAUUCACCGAAUGAGCCCUACAUGGCAGAGGCAGAGUUAAUCGGGACCCUGCACAAGGGGGCGUUCCCACGGGCUUCUUCCUAUCAUGCUACAGUACAUGUUUAGGGAGUUCAUAACAAGAUACAGGAAAAGCUGUAUUCUUAAUUAAAUAUGAGAGAUGGCAAAUAAAUUUCCUUGGUGCAUUUGAAAAUUUCAUUGGAUUUUCAUUUGGGAAAUUACAAAAUAUCGAUUAUUCAUCUAAAUGUAGGGAACUUUAUUGACUAAAAAAAGCUUGGAGGAAAUAGAAAAUAUAAAUUAAAACUUACCACCCUCAGUGUCUUUCAUACAAAUAUCUAGGAUAUAUUAUCUGAUAGCUGAUCUGCUCCAGAUCACAGAUAAUGAUGGGAAGGCUGCUAAUACAUCUCAUAAAAAACAUAACAAGAUUAAUCCUUGAAUUAACAAUGCUAAUUAAAGCAACAGUACACUACUUCUGUGUCCCUGUGCUUUUUUGACCACUUUAUUUAUUUUUACUUAUUCUAAAUAUUACAUUUUAAAAUUAGGGUUUAUUUCUAUUACUUCUUUGUCAAAUACUAAUAUUUGUUUUGGUGGUGGGCCUGAACUCAGGGCCUUGGUCAUGCUCGGCAAAACUUUUACCACCAAAUGAUAGCUCUGACCCAUUCUUGACCACUAUGCAUUUUACAUCGUCAGUCUUCCUCUUUAUCCCUUUCAUCCUGUAAAGUCAGGCCUGGGAUCUCAGGACGGUACUUUUAGGGACCAUUGCUGCAGCUGCCGCAUCAUCCUUCCCCUUGAUCUUUUCCCGACACCUUCUGCAGUGGGCUGGUGCUAACUCUUCUAACAAUAGGAUACCUCUACUUAGAAAGUUCAGACUCAAGAUGAGGACUCCCCUGAGUCGCCUUGUUCAAAAUUUCAGGUUUAGCCACCCGCUCUCACUUCCUCAUCCCCGUUUGCCUGUUUCCCCUUUGUCUACUCUCUUUUCUUGGUUCCUUAGCACUAUACAAAAUUCCAUCCUUCAUCCAUUCCUCCUCUUCUCAUCCUCAGAUGCAUUUUGUGAACUAUACCGUAUUAACUAUUGCCUGAUUUGCUUGUCUUUGUCUCUACUGUGGUACCAUUACUGUUUGAAAUUCCCUUUAGGCAUCGAUCAGCCAUGCCCCCAGGAACGCAAUCAUUUUUCAAAGAAAUAUCUUAACUCUUCCUAUCUACAAUUUCUGUUUGGAAAAUAUAGCCUGCUAUGGCAAUUAACUGUCUGUUUUCUUCUAACCAACUGGCAUCCACUACUUCUGUCAUGUACUUUGAAUUUUUACAUGCACUGGUUUCUGAAGAGCUGAUUGCUCACAGUAAAGAAUAAAGUUCUAACAUCUUCACAGCUAUUUACAUCAGUCCUUUUCUUCUGCCCCAAAACUUCACGCAAAGCAUCUCCUUCACAUUUGUAGGCAACUGCUUCCCAGUGUCUCCCAGUGCUUUGCUGAGCCACGCCCCUUGUUUGCUGACCUCUGAGUGUAGCCCUGCCUCUCCUCCAUCACUUGGGGGGCCUCCUGCAUGGGGCUCCGCACUGAGGCAAGCUAGCCUACAGAUUCAGAAUUAACUGGGUGCAGUUCUGCACUGGUAUUUUAAAAAUCUGCCCAAGGAACUUUGGUGGGCAGUUCAGGAUCCAUUCUCUAACACUUACUGUGCUGAAAAGAAACUCUAAAUAUCAGUUGCCUCUACUGAAUGUGUUAAAACCAAAUUUCAGAGGCUACCAUUUGCAAUCUCUCUGUUUGGUUCCAUUCUAUUCUCCUACUUUGGUUCCUGCUCUCCUGCCAAACUAAUUUUUUUGUGUUCUUUAUCUAAAGAGAAAUUACCAGCAUUCCCCCUCACAGGCACACAUACUUGCACGUACGCAUGCAAGACAUGCGGUCUAGUAAAGGGUUUGGGGGGCUAUUCACAGGUAGGAGCCUGUGAGAUGUCAGUUUUUUGCACUGAAAUGUCAGAAUUUGGAAGUACUUGAGUUUGUGGAAACAGUGGGACAGGAUAUUUAGAAUGAAGUCAGUCUCCUCCUUCUAAGCCAGAGUAUUUUCUUCUUCAUUAAUGACCAUAUUUUCUUCAGAGAGACGGUCACGUAUGUCUGUUGUGAGAAGCCCAAAGGUCAAAAGGAAGGAAUGCUGAAAGGACAGCACGGAGCCCUGCUGAGGGGAAGGAACAGGGCGUGCCUCGCAGGAGCGCAGAGCCGCUGGCUCUGACAACCCACAACCACUGCUGUGCCCAGUUGCAACACUGCAGCAUGCAGCAUGCUGGGAACUGAGUGUCUCCUGAUCUCUGAGGAAACCUGGGCCUUUUCUUGUAAAAAGUUCUUGCCUUCACCCUCCCUAGAAAAGGAGAUAUUUAAAAUCCACACAUGACUGAAAGAAAAUCAAAACUGAAAGAGAAGAUUAGCAUCUGGAAAAUAUGACUCUGGCAGGGUGGAAUCAGGUAAUAUUUUUUUAUAGGAGCUAAGCAGUGGGAAUUUUUUAUAAUGGAAAUAUAUUUAGUUCAGAAUGUCCCAAACACUUGAUGUUGUAACUGUUUUUCUUCUAUUUUAGAUGGUACAGAAAAAGAAAACAACACAGAGGGGAACUGGACCUUGUGGCCCUGACCAGCUUAACCCUUUUGCAGUGUUAUUUUACUUAGUUCAGGUCACACAUUUCAUUCCAACUAGGUAUGUUGGCCUGUUUGGAAUUAGGUGGUUUGCCUGUUUAUUUUACCCAGCAGUCUUUAAUUGUAUGCUGUUUGUCUCAGAGCAAGCUUAUGACAGGCUGGAAUUCAACCUCAGUACAAAGUUUCACCACAUCCCAGAGACCAAGAGUUCAGUUUGGAAGCUCUGUUCUCCUGGGACUUGGGUUAUCUGGAAAAGUUGCUUCUGCGGUGGCACCCUUCUUUUCCUGUGAACUGGGGAGGAUGAUGUUAUUAUUCCUGAGUUAACACAACAAAUUAUAUACACAGAGUGGAAUAUUCAACAGGUCCUGCGCUAGGGGCCUGGAGAACUGACCUCCAGUCUUUACCCUGGAUCUGUGACAGUGCCUUUGCAUCUGUGAAUCAUAGUAAUGCUGUGGGCACAGCAUGAGAGCCCUAUCCAAAUAGAUUGUGAAAACACUGGUCAGUUGUGACUCAGGGCCAGGAGGUAUUAAGUAUAAAUUAGGGUUGCUGACUCAUUCUGGUUUGCCCAGGACUUUUCACAGGGAAUCCUGCUCCUCAGGAAUCCACUCAGGACCUAGCAAGUCAAAACAGCAUUCCAUUGAGGGACCAUAGGGCAGCUCCUGAUCCACCGACAGCAGGGAACCGCACUCUGUGAGUGGACCUCACAGCCAACUGCUCCCUAGAGCGAUCAGCAAACAGUCCUUAUCAUCAUUUAAAUUCCCCCAUAAAUACCUCUAAAGUAAAAAUAAUUAUAGGAGCAGAUAGAUAGCAAAAGUUCAGUGAAUUCCAGAUCAGUUAUCAGUCACAAAUAAGUGGAUGCAUUUGAAUGGAGUUUUUCUAAUAAAUAAUUAGAAUGGCCGCAAAAGUUAUCUCAGCUUUUUAACUGAGUGGCUUUGUCCCUCAUGUGGAAUGUAAGGAGAAAGAUGCCAAGGGUCCUGAGAGUCAGUUCUGCGUCUGCUGUCAAGAUGACUUGGGGAAGUCAUUCUUCCUGGACUUCACCUAGCCCGAAUCUGAAAAAGGGCGCGGGAGUGGGUCUGACAGGCUUCCAAGGGCUCUUGCAGUUUUAGGGUUCUAUGUCUCAGAGCGCAUUUAAUAAUAAUAAUUUCAAAAUGCAACAUUGAUAAGAGGUGGCCAGUAAAGCAGAAUUGCAUGACUGGUUCCACUCUGAGUAGAAUUAAGAAUUUGGUUCUUUUUGUUUCAAAGUUUCAUUCCCUUCUGAGAAAUACCUGUUACCAUCUAAUCCUUUUCAGCAGCUCUAAACAGGCUGAAGGUCCUGCCAGCUCUGUGGGGUUUUUUUCCCCCCACCAGCAAGUUAAAAUAAACUUUUACAUUAGGAUGCCAAAAGCAGUGAUUUGGAGUGUUCAAAGAAUAAACUCUGCCAGAAGAACUUAUGAGUCAACACAUAUUGAAUGCAAGGACUGGAUCUGUACAGGAGGAAGCCUACCUUCUCACUGUGGAAGGAGAAUGUACCUGGAAACAUCCACAUCACCAUUCCAAGGACUAUUUGUCUGUAUAUUUUAUCUUUAAGCAGUCUUUUUCUGGGUAGCUAUUUGGUAGUAUCUUUUUCAGUUUUGAAGCAUUGCAUUUGAACAGUCCUCAGAGAUAACUCUCACUUCUUCUUUUUUUGUGUGUGUGGCAAUUAGACCCUGUUAUUUAUAGUAUGUUCCUUAGAUUAACAAUGUGUAUCUGAAUUACUACAUGCACUUUAAAAACAAACAAAAAAUCCAAAUCUCAAGACAUCUAUUUAGACAUGGCCCACAGCCCUAUCCUUACCAGCGGAUUUGGGAGAAGAAAGCCAUAUUCUUCAGAAAUGUGGUAUCUUCCUAAACACAGUGGCAAUGUUGUCUUCAAAUUCUGUCUCUCAGGCUCCAUAAUUUUGUGAUAAGUGCUUGCACAGAAGUUGCCACCACAGAAGCAAGUUUUCCAGAUAACCCAAGUUCCAGGAGAACAGAGCUUCCAAACUGAACUCUUCAGUGGUCUCUGGGGUGUGGUGAAAGUUUGUACUGAGGUUGAAUUCCAGCCUGUCAUGAGCUUGCUUUGAGACAGAACUGAGCAAACAAUUAAAGACUUAUGGGUAAAACAAACAAGCAAACCACCCAGUUCCAAAAAAAUCCCUCUUUUCCUUUCUUACACACGCAGAAGAGAACAUUGUUUUUAAACCCAGAGACAAACAUGUUCAACUUUGGGAAAGGGGAAGUGAAUUAGACUUCUGUUUAUGGCUGAUCAAACCCAUACCCUGACCUGAUUCUGACCCAUGCUGAACUUUGACAACUGUGUCAAAAUUACUCCAAACCAAGUACACUAUUGCAAGUAGAAGUUGCAUUCAAAUAGUAAUUUCAGUGAUAAGUAGAGUGGAGAGGGGAAUCCUAGUGGUAUAUCAGAAUCAUAUAACAAUUUUUAUUUGGUUUGGAACACAGGGUCUAAGGUUAUGAUUGUUUCAACUUAUUUUAAGAAAUGCUACUUAGUAAGGUUGAGAAAUCUUUCAUUGCAUUAAUAGAUUUUUUCUUUUAAGUUUAACAAUGGUUACCAAUGGGCUUGAAAACAACCUAAACAGAUAGUUUGAUUCCACCUUCUAUAUUAAAAAAAUUGUAUUUAAUUGACACAGUAGCUGUACUCAAACUACUUUCAUCAAACAACUUUGAGAACCAAGCGUCAAGAUGAGUAUUCUUACUUUUGAAGUGGGUCCUACCAGGCUCGUUUGGCAGCUUAGUAAACAGAGGUAAUGCAUAUGAAGCAGCCAUUGCAGUGUUAUACUGUUAACAGAAUGAGAACUGGGAUCCAGGGUGCUGAUUUGCAAGCACCGUUCUGUUCUAUCAGCUGGCUAAUGUGGAGCCCAGAACAAUGGUUUCUAGGUCAGUGAUCUGCCCUGGGAAAGUCAGAGUACCCUGCCUUUUCUCAGUGGAUCUUGAACUUAAAUCUUAAUGUUUUAAAUGAGUUUAUUUGGAAGCAACUUAUUCGUCCAUGUUUGUCCUUCCUUCUUUUUGUAUCAAGGAAAACAUAACAACAGGAAAUACUAAGAUAUCUCAUCCAGGUGUCCCCAGGGGUAUUUCUCUUCUGAAGGCCAUAUGUCAAAAGCAGCCUCACCUUACACCAUUCCUCAUGGGGCUUCUAAGAUAUUCUCAGUUACCUGUUAACCCUCAGCUCAACGUCCAGCUAGUCUCUGAGUUCAGUUUCUCCUGCCCCUAAAUUCAAUUUUUAAAACUCUACAGGGAGCCAUCCUUGUGAUCCAUGAAAAGUUGGAGAAGCUAUAUUUUCAAGGCAGCAUGAUCUCAUCCAUUCUUUUCAUCCUUUUAGGAAAGCAUUAUAAAGCCAUAAAAAUUAUAAAAUAUUAGACCAAGAAAGGUCAUUCUAAAUAACUGAUAUAGGUCAAUACCCUGUCACUCACACAGAACCCAAGAGUUCUGAAUCAACUUACGGACUAUCAUCCUGUUAAAGCAUUAUAAAGCCAUAAAAAUUAUGAAAUAUUAGAACAGGAAAGGUCAUUCUAAAUAACUGAUAUAGGUCAAUACCCUGUCACUCACACAGAACCCAGGAGUUCUGAAUCAACUUACGGACUAUCAUCCUGUUAAAGCAUUAUAAAGCCAUAAAAAUCAUGAAAUAUUAGAACAGGAAAGGUCAUUCUAAAUAACUGAUAUAGGUCAAUACCCUGUCACUCACACAGAACCCAGGAGUUCUGAAUCAACUUAUGGACUAUCAUCCUGUUAAAGCAUUAUAAAGCCAUAAAAAUCAUGAAAUAUUAGAACAGGAAAGGUCAUUCUAAAUAACUGAUAUAGGUCAAUACCCUGUCACUCACACAGAACCCAAGAGUUCUGAAUCAACUUACGGACUAUCAUCCUGAGAGCUGGCACAGAAUUGGACCACAUUCCCGACUUGCACUUUGUGAUGCAGGCGUAUCUCGCAGGUUAACUCUGGAGGAAUGACCUGGGAACGGAUGGGUCUUUCUCUGUCAUCUGCCAUCUGGAUUCCCGUUUGACAAGCAGCUUGAAGUUAUAAGCCUGCAUUUUCACACCUGGAGGAAAUAGUGGUGUAAUUUCACACAUUGUGUGAGCAGUGAGUGAAGCACUGUGGAGGCAGGACCUAACAUAACAGUGAGUGCCUUUUUAUUUUCUUCUCCUUUCCCACUCGUUCUUAAAUCUCUUCUUAAUAUUGUGUUUUUAAAAUUUUCUGUUCUAUCUUUCCUGUUUCAGUCACCGACUCCAUUUUUACUUUUCAGCUUUGGACAUCUGGAUAUUUGAGUGUUUUCAUAAUUUUCUCUUCGUCUUUUUGACAUUUUUUUAUAUGCUAAGGACUGAACCCAGCCCUAUCCCCCACCACCUCAUCCCACCAGCACCCUUUUUUCCCAGACAGGUUCUCAUUAAAUCGCCAAAUUUCCCAGGCUAGGUUUGAACUUGCAGUCCUCCUGUCUGAGGCUCACAGAGUCCUGGGAUGACAAGUGUGUGUCAUCGCUUCAGGGUUUAUACACAUUUCCACUGGAUCUUUGCCAUCAAUCCUAUCCCCAGUUUCUCAAAUCUGUAUAUUAGAUCCUUGUCUUUCUUACUCCCAAGUAGACCCAUGUUACUUGGAGGCCUGUGAAUAUUUCAGGUCCUGUCACAGAAGUGUUCAAGAGCUCCUCAGUGUCAGCCAAAUAACAUUCAAAUUGUCUUGAAUUGGCAUGAAACUAUGCCCAUGAUCUAACCCUUCACCACCUUUCUAACUGUGCAAAACACCAGUGAUCAAGCUAGCAAAAAAUUAUUGACUGCUCCUGAAGUAAAGUGCUUGGAUAUCUAA